AUACUUACCUGGCAGGGGAGAUGCCAUGAUCACGAGGUGGUUUUCCCGGGGCGAGGCUCAUCCACCUGCUUUCCGGAUGCUGACUCUUGCGAUUUCCCCAAAGGUAGGAAACUCAACUGAAUAAUUUGUGGUAGUGAAGGACUGCACUCACACUUUCCCCUG